rnacentral:lncRNA from 1 species
CCACAUUUUUCCUUUUGUCACUCCAAGAACCGUGCUAAUUAUGGUCUGUCUAAUAGGCCUCUCGUCUACAACCGUGCUGACCAAUCAAUCACAAGAUCUCUCUCUCUCUCUCUGACACACACAUUCUGUGUGUAUUUUCCUUCUAAUUUGGGGUUCAGUUUUAAUUUGGGGCCAAAAUGCCAAUUUUGCCCUUAACGGUUCAUGAAAUCAUGUCUUGCAGCCGUUUCAGGGAGGUGUUGGGGGAGAGGAAGCAUUUUUUCCCUAUUUACUUAUUUAUCUUUAAUUUAACUUUCAGAAAUUCAGUUUUAUAUUUUAUAUUUUCCAUUUUAUUUAUUUUUUAUCUGUUUGGCUAUCUUGUUUUAAGAACUGCUUCACAGCUGCCAUGCCAUUUGACAAGAGGGGAUUGGCGUGUCUGACAGCUCGGUGUGAUGCAGCUGGGGCUGUGGUGUAAAGUGCCAAUCCUCUUAUGACACGUGGCCUUGGAGUUUUUUUUGUGGUAUUUGAUUUGGGGCCUCUAAGUAUUUUUAGAUUUAAAAUUCAGUUUCUCAGUUUUUAGUACCUAUUGUUUUGUAAAUUUUCUUUUUUUGUGUUUGUCUGAAAUUUCAGUUUAUAAUUUCUUUUCAAAUUCAAUUUUAUUGUUUAUUUUUGUUAUAUUUUAAGUUAUUUUCUGUUUAUUUUCCAGCUUCAUGUUCAUUUUCUCAAGUUUUCUUUUUUUAUUUUCUAUUUCUGGUUUUUAUUUUUUAUCCAUUAUUUGUUUCUAUCCAUUUGUUUUUUUGAAUUUUGUGUAAUUUUUUAUAUUAUAAAUUUAGUUUUAUAUUUUAUUUUAUAUUUUAUUUUCUCUUUAAUUUCAUUUGUCAUUUCCACUUUCACAAAUUCAGUUUGUAUUACCUUUUUAACUUUUACCUUUUUUCUUGAUCUUCAGUUUGUUUUGGAUACUUCUUUUAUUUUCCUUUUUAUUUGAUUUUUUUACUUUUUGCUUAUUUUCUAUCUGUGCAUUCACUCGGUUUCCUUUUUUUAUUUUAUUUUAUUAUUUGUUCAUUAUCUGUUUUUAUCUAUUCAAUCUUUCAGUUUUGGAUCCAGGUUUAUAUUCUCUUCUUCUUCUCUUUUUUUUCUUUUCUCCCAUAAAUCCUAUCUCAUACUUGUGUUUUUGCUUUUUUUAGUUUGUUUGUUUUCUUCUCUGUUUCUGCAUUUCAUAUAGAUUUCUGCUUUUGUUUUUGGAGGAUAGUAGAUUCUUCUGAGAUGGAUAGAGGAAAUGGAGUUAUUACCUUGCAAAAAUAAACAUUUUUUAAGAAUAAGCCCUUGGUUACUUGGUUUUAUGGAUUAUGCAUACUUAAUGCUGGAUCUUCUCUUCAAAACAAACAACAGGAAGUCAAAAUGUCUAUUUUCAGAGUUAAUUGGUUCACUUUUGCUUAAGGAGGUUUUAAUGGCAACAUAACAUUUGUUGCUUUCUUCUGAGGACUUCUUGUGAUAAAUAAUAAAUGACUGUAGCUAUAUCCUUGUAAGAAUCACCUAGAAAUGACUUUAAUAUAUUAUAAGAAUCAUUGCUGAGGUUUUUAAGAUGGUCAGAGGGACAAAAAACUAUUGCUUUUGUCAGAAAUAUCUUUGUCUUUGGUUUGAACUGGUUACAUGUGUUCAAUCUUCUCUCUAAGUGCUCCCAAAAUGGAUAGAAACACUGACCAUCUUGUUCUUGAUUGGAUUGUUUCACACUUCUUGGUGUUAGAGGAUUGCAAGUAUGUUUGAAAUUGAAAUGAAAAAUUUGCAAUUUCACUGAAUCUCACUGCUGGUGGGCUUUCCAGUAUUUGUUGAUCCAUUCUUUCACAGAUAUUUAGUCAACGAUCAAAGCCAUAAUAUAAUUUACUAUUAUGCUGUGUUCAAUGAUUAAAAAUAAAUCCCUUAUUUUAUAAAUCUAUGACUGAUGAUCUUCAGAUGUUUUUUUUAUAAUUUUUUUUUACUUUUUGUAAUGGUUGAACUUUUAUGUUAAUAUUUUGAUAGCACUAUUGUUGCUUAUAUCAUAUUCUUGUGGGCAUGGUGUUCCUGUAACUGUGUUGAUGCUCUGUAGAUAUUAUAGAGGAUGAUGGUACUGAUCUUUUGCUUUGGCAAUCAGGAAUGCUAUAGCAGGUUUGCAAUAAAUUAUAUUUCUUUUAACUGAAUCUAUAUCCUUGUAAGAAUCAUCUAUUUGUCGAUUUGUUUUUACUUAAGUUGGCUAUUGUGCUCUAAAGUUUCUUGGUAUCUCUGAGAUGGAUGAAGAGAACUGAUGCUAUGAUCUUGUCAAAAUCAUCUCAUUCUUUUUGUUCGGUUGGUUGUCAUGUGUCACUCGGUCGUCUGGACUUCCUUGUUGGGAUUCUUUAAGAUGGCUAACUGAGAAGAAAAACGGCAAUGCAAUAUUGUCAGAAAUGUCUGCUUAUUUUGUUUAAAUUGGUGCAUUAAACUUGAUUUCCUCUUGCCGGCAUAUCUGGAUGAAUAGAGCCAUUUGAUCAUCUCGUCUCUCUCUCCCUCUCUCUCUCUCUCUCU